rnacentral:rRNA from 1 species
AUCUAUGGCCAUACCACCCUGAACGCACCCAGUCUCAUCUGACCUCAGAAACUAAGAAGGGUUGGGUCAGGUUAGUACUUAGAUGGGAGAGAGGAUGUGAGUGCAAGCAGUUC